rnacentral:lncRNA from 1 species
GGGGAAAGGACUCCCUAUUUAAUCAAUGGUGCUGGGAGAACUGGCUAGCCGUAUGCAGAAAAUUGAAACUGAACCCUUUCCUUACACCUUCAUACAAAAAUUAGUUCCAGAUGGAUUAAAGACUUAAAUGUAAAACCCAAAACUAUAAAAUCCCUAGAAGAAAAUCUAGGCAAUACUAUCUGGGACAUAGGCACAGGCAAAGAUUUUAUAAUGCAAAUACCAAAAUCACUUGCAACACAAGCAAAAAUUGACGACUGGGAUCUAAUUGAACUAAAGAGCUUCUGCACAGCAAAAGAAACUAUCACCAGA